rnacentral:lncRNA from 1 species
CUAGUGUUUUUUUUUUUGUUUGUUUGUUUUUGUUGUGUUUUUUUUUUUUUUCUUAGUAGAGUCCCUUUAUUUACUGGAAGUACAGAAAAGGGAUUCAAUUUUUUUUCCCCCUCCAAUAGAAAAUACCUCUGUAUGAAUCAAGUGCAUUCUUGCUACCUGAAAACAGUUUCAGGCACAACCCCCUACACAAAGGAUUCACAAGUUAAUAACUCUUGUUGCAGGUGUAAUCCACCCUGGCAGGGAAAUUCCAGAGUAAUCUUUUGGAAGAAGUCGCUGCUGACUUGGGAAAGGCUGCAAUUCUGCGGCGCUGGGCAGAGCAAGCCCUCGGCAUCGGGCCACGUGCCACGGGCUGGAAGAAAUGGAAAUUCUCAAUCGGUUGUGACUCAGCAGUGA